CGUCAGUCUUUGUCCAGGGGGCCGCCUUCGCCACCGGUAUUCCUCCAGAUCUCUACGCAUUUCACCGCUACACCUGGAAUUCUACCCCCCUCUACAAGACUCUAGCCUGCCAGUUUCGAAUGCAGUUCCCAGGUUGAGCCCGGGGAUUUCACAUCCGACUUGACAGACCGCCUGCGUGCGCUUUACGCCCAGUAAUUCCGAUUAACGCUUGCACCCUCCGUAUUACCGCGGCUGCUGGCACGGAGUUAGCCGGUGCUUCUUCUGCGGGUAACGUCAAUUGCUGAGGUUAUUAACCUCAACACCUUCCUCCCCGCUGAAAGUACUUUACAACCCGAAGGCCUUCUUCAUACACGCGGCAUGGCUGCAUCAGGCUUGCGCCCAUUGUGCAAUAUUCCCCACUGCUGCCUCCCGUAGGAGUCUGGACCGUGUCUCAGUUCCAGUGUGGCUGGUCAUCCUCUCAGAUCAGCUAGGGAUCGUCGCCUAGGUGAGCCGUUACCCCACCUACUAGCUAAUCCCAUCUGGGCACAUCUGAUGGCAAGAGGCCCGAAGGUCCCCCUCUUUGGUCUUGCGACGUUAUGCGGUAUUAGCUACCGUUUCCAGUAGUUAUCCCCCUCCAUCAGGCAGUUUCCCAGACAUUACUCACCCGUCCGCCGCUCGCCGGCAAAGUAGCAAGCUACUUCCCGCUGCCGCUCGACUUGCAUGUGUUAGGCCUGCCGCCAGCGUUC
rnacentral:rRNA from 1 species